rnacentral:rRNA from 1 species
GACGAACGCUGGCGGCGUGCUUAACACAUGCAAGUCGAACGGAAAGGCCCUGCUUUUGUGGGGUGCUCGAGUGGCGAACGGGUGAGUAACACGUGAGUAACCUGCCCUUGUCUUUGGGAUAACUUCAGGAAACUGGGGCUAAUACCGGAUAGGAGCUCCUGCUGCAUGGUGGGGGUUGGAAAGUUUCGGCGGUUGGGGAUGGACUCGCGGCUUAUCAGCUUGUUGGUGGGGUAGUGGCUUACCAAGGCUUUGACGGGUAGCCGGCCUGAGAGGGCGACCGGCCACAUUGGGACUGAGAUACGGCCCAGACGCCUACGGGAGGCAGCAGUGGGGAAUAUGGCACAAUGGGCGGAAGCCUGAUGCAGCAACGCCGCGUGCGGGAUGACGGCCUUCGGGUUGUAAACCGCUUUCGCCUGUGACGAAGCGUGAGUGACGGUAAUGGGUAAAGAAGCACCGGCUAACUACGUG